rnacentral:lncRNA from 1 species
GCCCUGGGCCAAAGGCAGGCGCUAAACCGUUGAGCCACCCAGGGAUCCCCAAAAGGUCCAGUUUCAUUCUUCUGCAUGUGGCUGUCCAAUUUUCCCAACCAUUUAUUGAAGAGACUGUCUUUUUUUCAAGUGAAUGAUUUUUCAUGUUUUGUCAAAGAUUAGUUGACCAUAGAGUUAAGGGUCCAUUUCUGGGUUAUCUAUUCUGUUCCAUUGAUCUACAUGUCUAUUUUUGUGCCAAUCACAUACAGUCUUGAUGAUUACAGGUUUGUAAUAGAGCUUGAAGUCUGGAAAUGUGAUGCCCCCAUCUUUGGUUUUCUUUUUCAAUAUUCAUUUGGCUAUUCAGGGUCUUUUCUGGUUCCAUGCAAAUCUUAGGAUUAUUUGUCACAACUCUGUGAAAAAAGUCUAUGGUAUUUUGAUAGAGAUUGCACUGAAUGUGUAAAUUGCUCUGGGUAGCAUGGACAUUUUCACAAUAUUUAUUUUUCCAAUCUAUGAGCAUGGAAUGUUUUCCUGUCUCUUUGUACCUUCCUCAAUUUCAUAAGUGUUCUGAAGUUUUUGAAGUACAAAUCCUUUACCUCUUUGGUUAGGUUUAUUCCUAUGGUUUUGGGUACAAUUGUAAAUAGAAUUGGUUCCUUAACUUCUCUUUAUUCAGUCUCUUUGUCGGUGUAUAGAAAUGCAGCUUAUUUCUGUGCAUUGAUAUUGUAACCUGCCCCAUUGCUGAAUUGCUAUAUGAGUUCUAGCAAUCUUGGGGUGGAGUCUUUUGGGUUUUCUAUAUACAGGAUCAUGUCAUCUGCAAAGAGUGAAAGUUUGGCUUCUUUGUCAAUUUGAAUGCCUUUUAUUUCUUUUUGUUGCCUGAUUGCUGAGGCUAGGACUUCUAGUACUAUGUUGAAUAACCAUGGUGAGAGUGGACAUCCCUGUCAUGUUCCUGAUCUUAGGGAAAGGCUCUCAGUUUUUCCCCAUUGAGAGUGAUAUUUGCUGUGGGCUUUUCACAGAUGGCUUUUAUGAUGUUGAGGUAUAUUCCCUCUAUCCCUACACUUUGAAGAGUUUUAAUCAAGAAAAGAUGGUGUAUUUUGUCAAAUGCUUUCUCUGCAUCUAUUGAGAGGAUCAUAUGGUUCUUGUCUUUUCUUUUAUUAAUGUGAUCAGGUUGAUUGUUUUAUGAAUGUUGAACCAUCCUUGCAGCCUAGGAAUAAAUCCUACUUGGU